rnacentral:misc_RNA from 1 species
AACCUUAUGGACCUGCGGGCGUAUACCUGCGGAAGGAUCAUUACCGAGUUAUACAACUCAUCAACCCUGUGAACAUACCUAAAACGUUGCCUCGGCGGGAACAGACGGCCCCGUAACACGGGCCGCCCCCGCCAGAGGACCCCCUAACUCUGUUUCUAUAAUGUUUUUUCUGAGUAAACAAGCAAAUAAAUCAAAACUUUUAGCAACGGAUCU